CCUACGGGUGGCAGCAGUGAGGAAUAUUGGUCAAUGGCCGGAAGGCUGAACCAGCCAUGCCGCGUGAAGGUCAGUGCCCUGUGGGCGUUAAACUUCUUUUGUGCGGGAGCAAUAAUCGUCACGUGUGGCCAGACGAGAGUACCGUACGAAUAAGCAUCGGCUAACUCCGUGCCAGCAGCCGCGGUAAUACGGGGGGUGCAAGCGUUAUCCAGAUUUAUUGGGGUUAAAGGGUGCGUAGGCUGUGAGGUAAGUCAGCGGUGAAAUGCCCCCGCUCAACGGGGUGAAGUGCCAUUGAUACUGCCUUGCUGGAAUGCGGAUGCGGUGGGAGGAAUGUGUGGUGUAGCGGUGAAAUGCAUAGAUAUCACACAGAACACCGAUUGCGAAGGCAUCUCACGGAUCCGCGAUUGACGCUGAUGCACGAAAGCGUGGGUAUCAAACAGGAUUAGAUACCCCGGUAGUC
rnacentral:rRNA from 1 species